rnacentral:rRNA from 1 species
AGCAACCUUCGGGCUUAGUGGCGCACGGGUGCGUAACGCGUGGGUAACCUGCCUUUAGGUUCGGUAAUAACAGUUAGAAAUGACUGCUAAUACCGGAUAAUGUCUUCGGACCAAAGAUUUAUCGCUUUAGUAUGGGCCCGCGUUAGUAUUAGUAUAGUUGGUGGGGUAAUGGCCUACCAAGUCGACGAUCUAUAGCUGGUUCUGAGUAGGAUGAUCAGCACACUGGGUACUGAGACACGGUCCAGUACUCCUACGGGAGGCAGNAGUGGG